AAUAUUGCACAAUGGGCGCAAGCCUGAUGCAGCCAUGCCGCGUGUAUGAAGAAGGCCUUCGGGUUGUAAAGUAUUUCCAGCGGGGAGGAAGGUGUUGUGGUUAAUAACCACAGCUAUUGACGUUACCCGCAGAAGAAGUACCGGCUAACUCCGUGUCCGCAGCCGCGGUAAUACGGAGGGUGCAAGCGUUAAUCGGAAUUACUGGGCGUAAAGCGCACGCAGGCGGUCUGUCAAGUCGGAUGUGAAAUCCCCGGGCUCAACCUGGGAACUGCAUUCGAAACUGGCAGGCUUGAGUCUCGUAGAGGGGGGUAGAAUUCCAGGUGUAGCGGUGAAAUGCGUAGAGAUCUGGAGGAAUACCGGUGGCGAAGGCGGCCCCCUGGACGAAGACUGACGCUCAGGUGCGAAAGCGUGGGGAGCAAAC
rnacentral:rRNA from 1 species